rnacentral:rRNA from 1 species
AGUGGACGCUGGCGGCGUGCCUAAUACAUGCAAGUCGAACGGAAUUUAAGAGGGCUUGCUCUUUUAAAUUUAGUGGCGCACGGGUGAGUAAUAUAUAGCUAAUCUGCCCCUUGCUGGAGGACAACAGUUAGAAAUGACUGCUAAUACUCCAUACUCCUUUUUACCAUAAGAUAAAUCGGGAAAGAAUUUCGGCAAGGGAUGAGACUAUAUCGUAUCAGCUAGUCGGUGGGGUAACGGCCUACCGAGGCUAUGACGCGUAACUGGUCUGAGAGGAUGAUCAGUCACAUUGGAACUGAGACACGGUCCAAACUCCUACGGGAGGCAGCAGUAGGGAAUAUUGCGCAAUGGGGGAAACCCUGACGCAGCAACGCCGCGUGGAGGAUGACACUUUUCGGAGCGUAAACUCCUUUUGUUAGGGAAGAAUAAUGACGGUACCUAACGAAUAAGCACCGGCUAACUCCGUGCCAGCAGCCGCGGUAAUACGGAGGAUGCAAGCGUUACUCGGAAUCACUGGGCGUAAAGGACGCGUAGGCGGAUUAUCAAGUCUCUUGUGAAAUCUAACGGCUUAACCGUUAAACUGCUUGGGAAACUGAUAAUCUAGAGUAAGGGAGAGGCAGAUGGAAUUCUUGGUGUAGGGGUAAAAUCCGUAGAUAUCAAGAAGAAUACCUAUUGCGAAGGCGAUCUGCUGGAACUUAACUGACGCUAAUGCGUGAAAGCGUGGGGAGCAAACAGG